GCGCACGCUGGCGGCAGGCUUCACCCCUGCCAGUCGAGCGGGCAUCCUUGUGGUGUCAGCGGCAGACGGGUGCGUAACGCGUGGGAACGUGCCCUUCGGUUCGGAAUAACUCAGGGAAACUUGAGCUAAUACCGGAUACGUGCGAGAGCAGAAAGGUUUAUCUGCCGAAGGAUCGGCCCGCGUCUGAUUAGCUAGUUGGUGAGGUUACGGCUCACCAAGGCGACGAUCAGUAGCUGGUCUGAGAGGAUGAUCAGCCACACUGGGACUGAGACACGGCCCAGACUCCUACGGGAGGCAGCAGUGGGGAAUAUUGGACAAUGGGGGCAACCCUGAUCCAGCCAUGCCGCGUGAGUGAUGACGGCCUUAGGGUUGUAAAGCUCUUUUCUCCGGGACGAUAAUGACGGUACCGGAGGAAUAAGCCCCGGCUAACUUCGUG
rnacentral:rRNA from 1 species